rnacentral:rRNA from 1 species
UACGGAGGGGAGCUAGCGUUAUUCGGAAUUACUGGGCGUAAAGCGCACGUAGGCGGCUUUGUAAAGUUAGAGGUGAAAAGCCUGGAGCUCAACUCCCAGAAAUUGUCCUUUAAGUACGUGCAUCGGACUUGAAUCCAGGCGAGAGGUGAGUGGAAUUCCGAGUGUAGAGGUGAAAUUCGUAGAUAUUCGGAAGAAACACCAGUGGCGAA